rnacentral:rRNA from 1 species
AUACGAAGGGGGCUAGCGUUGUUGGGAAUUACUGGGCGUAAAGCGCGCGUAGGCGGACUGAUCAGUUGGGGGUGAAAUCCCAGGGCUUAACCCUGGAACUGCCUCCAAUACUGUCAGUCUUGAGUUCGGGAGAGGUGAGUGGAAUUCCUAGUGUAGGGGUGAAAUUCGUAGAUAUUAGGAAGAACACCAGUGGCGAAGGCGGCUCACUGGCCCGAUACUGACGCUGAGGCGCGAAAGCGUGGGGAGCAAACAGGAUUAGAAACACUAGUAGUCC